AUUUAAUUCACAAUUCCAACACCAGACUGUGACCUAAUUAUAUGCAUUUUACAGUGAUUUCAUAAUUAUAUGCAAAAUGCUAAAUCUAUACUGGCUUUUUUUUAUAUAUCUUAAUCAAUACAUAACACCUAAGUGACCAUUUCUUAUAGUCUUUUUAUGUCCUUGUCACUAUGCAACAGGGGCAUAAUAAAGUUUUAACCUUUUCCGUCCCUAUGUUCCUACUUUUGUUUCCAUUCUCUAACAGUUGUUUGGUCAAGAUAAUGUUGUGAAACUUAUACAAUGCUUUUUACCACCAUAGACUGAUUAAGUUGUGAUUUUCUUGAGUUAUGUCCCCUUGAAUUGUGCUUUAAAAAGAAAAAUUGAUGAAUAAGACAUACAUUUACAAGUGGGACCUAGUUUAUUGAAAAAAUAAAAUUUGCUUCAUUUUAUUUUGAUAACAAAUCCCAUUAAAUAAACAUGUUGAAGACCGUACUUUGACCUUUAAAGGUUUACUUUUACAAAUUGUGACUUGGAUGUGUUGUUUUUCGCAUUGGCACUCAUACCAUAUCUUCUUAUAUCUAUUGUUAUGGUUGUUUUUAAGACUAUCAAUAGUUAUAGUUGUAGGUCUGUCCAGUUAAAAUUGGGCUAUUCCAUUAAAACAAUUUGGAGGAGGGCUUUUUAAAAUUCAAAUAAUAACAAAUAAACAUUCAUAAUAUAAUUUUUCCCAUUAUAACUAGCUUACAACCUUGAAUGACCAACAAAUUGUGACUAAAAGAAAAAUAGCCUUCCCACCCUACCACAUUCUUUAAAAUGGAAUAGUCUGUAUGGUUAAUUAUCUUAUGAAAACAUGAUAAUUGGAUCAGAUGCUUGGUUGUGAAGAGAUUAUUUUCUUGUUUUUUUGUAAUUUUAUAUUUUUACAGCUACAUUUGUGAAGAUAUUAAAUUUCCAUGUUUUCUUGGUACACACAGAAAUGUGUCCAGAAAUUA
rnacentral:lncRNA from 1 species